UUUCCCCUUUCCCUUUCUGUUUAAUCGUCGGAAAGUUAAGUCGACGAGGCGGAGAGUCAGUUUCCAACGCACUUCCUGGCAGCUCUUGGGGAACUCUCCCCUCUGGAAAAGAUGGUCUCUAGAGUGAACUCGGAAGCUAGUAGACCCAGUGCGAAUCUACACGUUAUAAGUUUUGUGGGGACCGUCGCGGGAGCGCAUUGGCCGUAUUGCGCGUGCGUCAGAACUCGCUUUGACUCAAGGGGCUGCAGUCGCAAUGGUUCAACGAGUGAGGCUUCCGGUUCGCUUUUGCAAUCAGGCACAAUCCUCCAUGUGCGGGGCAAGAUCGGUGGAAAGAUUCUAAUCACAACCAGAAUUAUAAGGCAAGCGGGGUUUUUUUAUCGACUUGUCAAGGAGUUUGCCCCACCCAGCUGAAGAGAUUUGCCCACAUCCUGCAGCCAAUCAGCGGCAUCCUCUUCCAGAGGCAGAGCUCAGCUGAUGCUCCUUCCAGCAAGGAGAUUUCCUUAGCAUGACGUGGCAGUGGAAGGCGGACAGCCUCCUUUCCACCCCUCGCCUAUGAUUUCCUACGCAUGUCUAUAAUGUUCCAUUGUUUCCAUUCGGACUUAGCUUUCUCCCGCCUGGGCUGAGAAUUUCAGCCGCCCACCUUCUGAAAUGCUUUAACGAGGACCACUCAGGAUCCGUUCUCCAUUUCACUUUCUAAAGUUCAAGGCUUGCCACUCAUCCUGGAUAAUACAGGAUUGUCCCCUGUUUCAAUGUGAAAUGUUACAUCUGGUACUGAUAAAGUUUGUCCUGUAUUUCCACCUCUCUCUCUUUCUCUGCCAAGUUAGGGAACAUCUCGAAACGCAUGUGUAAAGGUUAUGUAUUUAAGCUCAGCUAGCAAAGCACAAACCGAUUCACACAUUCAUUUGUAUGUGUGUGCGACAAAUUCCAGAGGGGCCAUCCUGUUAGGCUGCAAUAGAUU